rnacentral:rRNA from 1 species
CACGUAGGGUGCGAGCGUUGUCCGGAAUUAUUGGGCGUAAAGAGCUCGUAGGCGGUGUGUCGCGUCGGCCGUGAAAACCUGCAGCUUAACUGUGGGCUUGCGGUCGAUACGGGCAUCACUGGAGUUCGGCAGGGGAGACUGGAAUUCCUGGUGUAGCGGUGAAAUGCGCAGAUAUCGGGAGGAACACCAGUGGCGAAGGCGGUUACCUGGAGCUUUGCUGACGCUGAUGGCGCGAAAGCGUGGGGAGCGAGUCCGGA